rnacentral:rRNA from 1 species
CCUACGGGUGGCUGCAGUGGGGAAUAUUGCGCAAUGGGCGAAAGCCUGACGCAGCGACGCCGCGUGAGGGAUGAAGGUCUUCGGAUCGUAAACCUCUGUCAGCAGGGAAGAACGGUCACUGUGCUAAUCAGCAGUGAAUUGACGGUACCUGCAAAAGCAGCACCGGCUAACUCCGUGCCAGCAGCCGCGGUAAUACGGAGGGUGCGAGCGUUAAUCGGAAUUACUGGGCGUAAAGCGCACGUAGGCGGUAUGUCAAGUCAAGGGUGAAAUCCCCGCGCUCAACGUGGGAACUGCCUUUGAAACUGGCAAACUGGAGUGUGUGAGAGGAUAGUGGAAUUCCAGGUGUAGGAGUGAAAUCCGUAGAUAUCUGGAGGAAUACCAGUGGCGAAGGCGACCCCCUGGAAAAUAACUGACGCUGAGGAGCGAAAGCGUGGGUAGCAAACAGGAUUAGAUACCCUUGUAGUC